AUUUCUCAGCAGUCAUUGUCUGCAAUCAGGAACCUUGGCAAGAACCACCUUUCUACAGGCUUUGGUGUCUCAGCGCGGGAGGCACAGAUGGCGAGGUCUGCCUUUGGCCAGGUGUGGGCGCCCAGUGUUGGGGGAGAAGACUGCAGGCACAGAAGACUGAACUCACAGGCAGAAGGAGAAAGUGAAGAGAAGAGAGGGAGAAGGGCCCUGACCGAGGCCACCAGCUUGUAAGUAGCAGCCCUAGGCUUGGGACCAGGGCCUCCUGAAGGUGACAGUCCUUUCAGCCAUGUGUCCUUGUUCCUCUAGUUACCUCCAAUUAACUCUAGGUAACCCAGCCCAGUCUUUGAUUCUGUGUUGAAAGGUGCGAGGUGCUGGAGCCGGGAAGAGGUGCGUUCUUGCUCUCGACAGGAAGUGUCAUGUGAGUUUCCGGUUCCCUCUCCUCCACUACCACUCUGGAUCCUCACACCAGCCCACAGAGGGAGACAGGAAGGGAGGCACAAAGGCAGGGCAGGGAAUACUGUGCCUGUUUUCCAGAUGAAGACACGAAGGCCAAGAGAGGGAAAGUGAGUCGGCCAAGGUCCUCCAGCUAGUCGGGGUUGAGCGUGUUUAACCUUAGGAAACGUGACUGCAGAGCAAGGGGCUUUCAUCUUCCUGUGGGAAUUCGCCCCCUUUCUCACAGGGGCCCUCAAGAGACUAGGCAGGCUCCUCCUGCAAAGGAUUCCUCUUUGUCCAUUUGAGAGGCCUCACCCCAGGCUCUAGGAGCUGACAUGAUUCAGCUCAAGGAAGACUCAGUAUGAAGGGAGAACCAGGAACCUGGGCCUCUGCCCCUCACCUGUGGCCUUGAACAGGUCACUUCUCCCCUCAAGCCUUGGUGUCCUCCCCUGUAGAGCUGAGGGGGUGAGGAGUAGAUGAGCUGAUCCUUCAGUUUGCUGCCCUCUUUGACCCGGAAGUGCUGGGCCUGCACAACCCUGCAUCCCUGGCACCAGUGCUCCUAGCCCCACCCUGCUCCAGAUGCCCAGUGCCUGAAGAGCCAGCUCCCCAUCAGCACUCAGUCCUGGGGCAGAGCCAGGCCUGGCAAUGCUGGGGGAGACCCUGGAGGGGAACAUCAUGGGCCACCAGGGGCACGCUGCAAAUGCAGCAACUAAUGCACCAGGGGCGCCAGGGUGCAAUCUAUCUAAGCAGUUCUCUCACGCUCUUUGCACGUUAAUAAUGCAUGGGCAGCCGGUGUGGGGGCCAUCACAGGCCCAACGUCAGGUGGCAUUAGGA
rnacentral:lncRNA from 10 species